rnacentral:misc_RNA from 1 species
ACCACCAGCACUAAUAAUCUCAUCCUGUAAAAAUUUCAAACAGAUUAAUGUGCUUCAACUUAUAGAUUCCAUGAAACCCAACACACAUAAUAGCAAUUGAAGCCCACAGGACAUUUCAAUUCAAAAUAAUAUGCAUCCUGCAAAAUCAUGCAAUUUGAACAGCAUGGAUUGAGCACGUGUUCAUUUCAUAAAUAAAACUCAGAAAAAAAGGCUAAAAGUGAAACAUUGACGGAUUGAGCAUGUGCUCCUUUCAUAACAAAAUUUACAUG